rnacentral:rRNA from 1 species
GACGAACGCUGGCGGCGUGCUUAACACAUGCAAGUCGAACGGAAAGGCCCUGCUUUUGUGGGGUGCUCGAGUGGCGAACGGGGGAGUAACACGUGAGUAACCUGCCCUUGACUUUGGGAUAACUUCAGGGAACUGGGGCUAAUACCGGAUAGGAGAUCCUGCUGCACGGGGGGGGUUGGAAAGUGUCGGCGGUGGGGGAUGGACUCGCGGCUUAUCAGCUUGUUGGUGGGGUAGUGGCUUACCAAGGCUUUGACGGGUAGCCGGCCUGAGAGGGGGGCCGGCCACCUUGGGCCUGCGGUACGGCCCAGACUCCUACGGGACGCAGCAGUGGGGAGUCUUGCACAGUGGGCGGAAGCCUGAUGCAGCGGCGCCGCGUGCGUGAUGACGGGCUUCGGGUUGUAAACCGCUUUGGCAUGUGACGAAGCGUGAGUGACGGUAAUGGGUAAAGAAGCACCGGCUAACUACGUG